GCCUGGCCCUUUGGUGAAGUCGUCAGCGCGUUUGACUCUUACUCGGGAGUUUGGGGUUCAAUUCCCCGCCCGGGCU